rnacentral:lncRNA from 1 species
CUUCCUGCAUGGGGCCUGCUUCUCCCUCUGCUUGUGUCUCUGCCUCUCUGUGUCUCUCAUGAAUAAAUAAAUAAAAUCUUAAAAAAUUCUAUUUCUUUGGUUGCCUUAGUAAAAUAAGUGAUUGAGGAAAAAGAGUAUUCAAGAAGAAACUUUUGCCUAAUUAUCAUUUCUAUGUAUCUAGUAUUUGCUACUUUAUCAUGCCCCUUUUACUCCUCACUUUAUUAGUUAUGAGAAAUUAAUAAAUUCAGUUUGUUUUUGAAAUCAGAACAAGUAGAUUCUAAUCCUAACUCUGCUUUCAGCAGGUGGGUGACAUGGGCAACUGUCUUAAGCUCCCUAGGACUCUGUUUUUUCAUUUGCAAAAUAAGGAAUGAUGUAUAUUAGACAAUUAUUGUGAGGGUUAUUUUCAACUUGUAAAUUGCAAUGCUUUAUGACUGGCAGAAAGUGGACACUUAAUACAAAUUGUUCUCCUUUCUUUAGCUCUUCUUUAAAAAAAAUAAAACUAAUGAAGAAAUACAAUACUAAUGAAGAGAGAUCCCAGAGUUUUAAAAAAAAGAAAGAAAGAAAGAAGACAACACUUAUGGGAUAUGAAAACCAGGUGCAGAGGACUGAAAAGUACUGCCAUCAGGGUCUGCCUCCUGCUACCAUGCAAACCAGCCUCUUGAGGAUGAGACCCCUUGUGAAGAAAGGCCUUUGGCAUCCCGGCUGUUUUUGCUGUAGCCCCAGAGCCUCGGGCAUAGAGGGAGGCCUUUUCUCCUCACUGAGCCCCAGAUGAACUGGCUUAGUGCGGAAGAACUAGCCAGAUCAUUUAUAGAUAGAAUUGGGACAGAAAUGGUCGUUGUUUCAAGUCACUAAGCUUUGUGCUGUUUCUCUAUGAAGCAACGGCUAAUAUAUAUUAUAUAUAGUUGUAUAUCGUACUGCAUAUAUAGUCAUAUAUUAUAGUUAUGUAUAGUCACACACACACAUAUAAUAUAUAUAUUAGUUGAGGUGGUUGUGGAAGGGGGUGAAACAGUAGGAGAAAGAGGGCAAAAGGCCCUGAUUAUAUUUUUGCAACCUGAGGAUACAGGCAGAAUGGAUAGAGGCAGAGGAGCUCUUGAGGACGGUGAUGUACAAAAAAGGAAGAAGGGAAUAACAUUAAAAACAAACUUCAGGGGCGCCUGGGUGGCUCAGUGGUUGACCGUCUGUCUACCUUUGGCUCAGGGCAUGACCCCACGGUCCUGGGAUCGAGUCUCGCAUCGGGGUCCCCGCAGGGAGCCUGCUUCUCCCUCUGCCUGUGUCUCGG